AUGGAUAGGCAAGGCAUUUUAUCUCCGGUCUUCCACGACAAUGAUGGCAUGAACAACUACAUCACCAAAAUACCCAUCUUCGGACUACGACGAGCAACGCGAGGCAUUGAGCGACUCACUGCCGACAUUCAUCAACUUGAAGCACGGACAAGAGACUACCUCGACACCAAGUUGGCCGAACAAAGGGAUCAAGUACGCGACAUGUUGGCCAACUACAAGUCUUCUUCCCCUUCGUCAUCUUCAAGGCGGCGACGCUCAAGUGGCCAAUCUUCGGAACGUCAUCGAGCUCAAGCACUACAAAACCAUCAAGAUGAAGAUGCUCGCGAUGCGUACACCUACAAGUCCCAAAAAGCUCUACAUCAAGCUACGGCCAAACGUGAUGAGCACAAGAGAAGACUGCAAGACAAGGACCAACAAGACGGAGCUACGACUACUACCACCACUUUGGCAUCUUCGCCAAGUGUUCUCAAGGCCAUCCACGGCGAUGAUGACGAGAUAAUCGAGCAUGGGAUUUUCCCUUCGAUCAUGGAGGAGAGUGAUGAUGUGCCAUCUUCGGCCUUCAUCCACGGCGACGACAAUGAGAUGGUUGAGCAUGGGAUUUUCCCUUCGACCACAGCGACGUAUGAUGACUUGAGUGACUUGUGCCACCAUAUUGAGAGUGAGCGUGACUUCACAACUAGCCCCUUAUAUGAUGAGUUGCCAUGA
rnacentral:rRNA from 1 species